rnacentral:misc_RNA from 1 species
GAUGAAGAACGUAGCGAAAUGCGAUAAGUAAUGUGGAUUGCAGAAUUCAGUGAAUCAUCGAAUCUUUGAACGCACAUUGCGCCCGCCAGUAUUCUGGCGGGCAUGCCUGUUCGAGCGUCAUUACAACCCUCAGGCCCCCGGGCCUGGCGUUGGGGAUCGGCGGAGCCCCCCGUGGGCACACGCCGUCCCCCAAAUACAGUGGCGGUCCCGCCGCAGCUUCCAUCGCGUAGUAGCUAACACCUCGCGACUGGAGAGCGGCGCGGCCACGCCGUAAAACACCCAACUCUUCUGAAGUUGACCUCGAAUCAGGUAGGAAUACCCGCUGAACUUAAGCAUAUCAAUAAGCGGAGGA